GGGGUUUACCUAUGGCUUGCACUAUGUAUGCUUCUUCCGAGUGCUAUUUCGGUGUAAAUCUAAAGCCAAUGUGCAAACCCUCCGAAGUGACUUACACUAUCAUGCCAAACAUGGGCUACUUCGAAUUCCUCCCGCACGACGCCUCUUCCCGAGCUCCUGCUCUCUCCCGCGACUCCCCUCCUCGACUCAUCGACCUUGCCGACGUUGAAGUCGGGAAAGAAUAUGAGCUCGUGAUCACAACCUACGCGGGACUAUGCCGGUACCGAGUUGGUGACGUCCUCGAAGUCACUGGGUUCCACAACGCCGCACCGCAGUUUCGAUUCGUGAGGCGAAAGAAUGUUCUUUUGAGCAUCGAUUCCGACAAGACCGACGAGGCCGAGCUUCAAAAGGCGGUGGAGAGCGCGUCAUCUCUUCUACGAGAGUUCAACACCACCGUGGUGGAAUAUACAAGCUAUGCUGACACCAAAACAAUUCCAGGACAUUACGUCAUAUAUUGGGAGCUUCUUGUGAAAGAUAAUGAAUCAACAAAUUCUCAUCCAACAGAUGAGGUCCUAAAUCAGUGUUGCUUGGCCAUUGAAGAGAGUUUGAACUCGGUUUACCGACAAGGCCGAGUUGCGGAUAACUCAAUUGGACCGUUGGAGAUUAGGGUGGUGAAAAACGGGACGUUUGAAGAGCUAAUGGACUACGCGAUCUCGAGAGGCGCGUCGAUCAACCAAUACAAAGCGCCACGGUGCGUAAAUUUCACACCCAUUGUCGAGCUGCUCGACUCUAGGGUAAUUUCAGUGCACUUUAGCCCAGCCAAGCCGCACUGGACACCAGAGCG
rnacentral:misc_RNA from 1 species